UUAGGUGGUCCGCGGCGGCGCCAUUAAAGCGAGGAGGAGGCAAGAGCGGCCGCCGCUGCUUCUUAUUCUUUUUUAGUGCAGCCGAAGAGAGCGGGAGUGCGCGCUGCGCGAGAGUGGGAGGUGAGGGGGGCAGGCCAGGGAGAGGCGCAGGAGCCUUUGCAACCACGCGCGCCUUCUCUGUCUUGUGUGCUUCGCGCGGUACAGCGAGCGCGCGGCAGCGGCGGGGAUUACUUUGCUGCUAGUUUCGGUUCGCGGCAGCGGCGGGUGUAGUCUCUUCGGCAGCGGAGGCAGUAGCGCUAUGUCGGAGGAGCAGUUCGGCGGGGACGGGGCGGCGGCGGCGGCAACGGCAGCGGUAGGCGGCUCGGCGGGCGAGCAGGAGGGAGCCAUGGUGGCAGCAGCGCAGGGGGCAGCGGCGGCGGCGGGAAGCGGAGCCGGGACUGGGGGCGGAACCGCGACCGGCGGCACCGAAGGGGGCAGCGCCGAGUCGGAGGGGGCGAAGAUCGAUGCCAGUAAGAACGAGGAGGAUGAAGGCCAUUCAAACUCCUCCCCACGACACACUGAAGCAGCGACGGCACAGCGGGAAGAAUGGAAAAUGUUUAUAGGCGGCCUUAGCUGGGACACUACAAAGAAAGAUCUGAAGGACUACUUCUCCAAAUUUGGUGAAGUUGUAGACUGCACUCUGAAGUUAGAUCCUAUCACGGGGCGAUCAAGGGGUUUUGGCUUUGUGCUAUUUAAAGAGUCGGAGAGUGUAGAUAAGGUCAUGGAUCAGAAAGAACAUAAAUUGAAUGGGAAGGUGAUUGAUCCUAAAAGGGCCAAAGCCAUGAAAACAAAAGAACCUGUUAAAAAAAUUUUUGUUGGUGGCCUUUCUCCAGAUACACCUGAAGAGAAAAUAAGAGAGUACUUUGGUGGUUUUGGUGAGGUGGAAUCCAUAGAGCUCCCCAUGGACAACAAGACCAAUAAGAGGCGUGGAUUCUGCUUUAUUACCUUUAAGGAAGAGGAACCAGUGAAGAAGAUAAUGGAAAAGAAAUACCACAAUGUUGGUCUUAGUAAAUGUGAAAUCAAAGUAGCCAUGUCGAAGGAACAGUAUCAGCAACAGCAGCAGUGGGGGUCCAGAGGAGGAUUUGCAGGCCGAGCUCGUGGAAGAGGUGGUGGCCCCAGUCAAAACUGGAACCAGGGAUAUAGUAACUAUUGGAAUCAAGGCUAUGGCAACUAUGGAUAUAACAGCCAAGGUUACGGUGGUUAUGGAGGAUAUGACUACACUGGUUACAACAACUACUAUGGAUAUGGUGAUUAUAGCAACCAGCAGAGUGGUUAUGGGAAAGUAUCCAGGCGAGGUGGUCAUCAAAAUAGCUACAAACCAUACUAAAUUAUUCCAUUUGCAACUUAUCCCCAACAGCGGGAACUUCAUUGCAGGCCCUGUGUCGCGCUGACUUCACGAUUCUCACAGGCCCGCUCAAUGCGGACAGGGUACGAGAUGCUCACGCUCUCGAAUGCUGCCGUUUGGUGGUGAAGCAGUAUUUUCCAAUUUGAAGAUUCAUUUGAAGGUGGCUCCUGCCACCUGCUAAUAGCAGUUCAAACUAAAUUUUUUGUAUCAAGUCCCUGAAUGGAAGUAUGACGUUGGGUCCCUCUGAAGUUUAAUUCUGAGUUCUCAUUAAAAGAAAUUUGCUUUCAUUGUUUUAUUUCUUAAUUGCUAUGCUUCAGAAUCAAUUUGUGUUUCAUGCCCCUCCUCCCCAGUAUUGUAGAGCAAGUCUUGUGUUAAAAGCCCAGUGUGACAGUGUCAUGAUGUAGUAGUGUCUUACUGGUUUUUUAAUAAAUCCUUUUGUAUAAAAAUGUAUUGGCUCUUUUAUCAUCAGAAUAGGAAAAUUUGAGGAAUAUAAAAAAAGUUUUUGUCAUGGAUUCAAGUUAGUAGAAGCAUAAAUUUGGAAAAUAGUAAUCCUUGUCUAAAUUGAGGACAUGGUUAAGAUUGCAGUGGAAUUUUAAAUGUUUUUAGUAAACUAAUUUUUGCCACAAUGUGACCUCCCUAUCCAAAUUGGAAAUGACUUAAUGUAGUUAAUUUGUUUGUUGGAUGUUUUAAUACUAAUGUAGCCAUUAAGAUUUAUAUGAAUACUUUCCCAAUGCCCAAUUUCUGCUUAAUAUGUAUUGUGCUUUUUAGAACAAAUUUGGAUAAAUGUGCAAGAAACCCUUUUGCACAGAUACUUAAUGUUUUGUGCUUCCAUUAAGUAAAAAUAAGAGCAAUGAAAAUAAUGUGAAUCGUAAUAAAAAUGCAGCUAGUUAAGAGAUUUUUAGGGCUGUGGUGGACUUACCCUCCAUAGAUAUUCAAGCGUUGAGGGAGGAUUAAAGAAAUGUAUACUGUGUUUGUGUGUGCUCAUUUGUUUGAAUGAUUUUAUUUUCCUUAAAGUCAGUUUUCUGGAUUAGGGCCCUAAAAUAUCCCAGACUGGGAUUUGAAGACAUACCUAGGAGUUCAGAGUCAUUCUAAGAAAGUGUAGCUAGGAGUUUAGUUGAUGGCUUAGGAGUAAGUAAGAAGAGUUCCUUUUUGCGAUUACUUGUUUUAUUUGUAAAGUAUAGAAAUUGACAAAACUUCAUUUGGAAGGGUUUUUGGUAUUUGUUAAUAGUAUUUAGGGAAUUGAUACCCAUCAAUUUGGAAAAUCCUUUGUAGCUAUUAAGUGAAUGUUAAUAAGUGUUCUACCCUGAGUGGUAAUUUGAGAUCCUAUCUAUUCAUAAGUCAAGCUUGGAGGCUGAGAAUAGCUAGAAAAAAAGUAACAUCAUAAAUGAGAAAUAGUCUUAAUUCUGUAGUAGAGUGAAGUGAUCUUUACAAUUUUUUUUCUUUUAUGGAGUUGAGUCAUUUCUGAUGGUAAGAAUUGACCUUCAACUGGCAGGCAUUUUAGUGAGCAAAAAUUAGUGUUACUGAAAAAAAGUAAGUCAAACUUUUAUGAUAGAUGUCUGGAUUGGGGGCCUGCAGCCUGUUUUUGUAACUAUACUGCGACCCAGCUAUGCUUAUGUGUUUGCAUAUAUUGUAUGGCUGUUUUUGCACCAUGACAAAGUAGUUAAGAAGAACUAUAAAGCCUAAAAUACUUGCUAUCCGAACUUUUACAGAAAAAGUUUGCUGACCUCUGAUCUAAAUUAGUGAGUUUGUGUUGGGGUUAUUUUAUGUAACUAUUGCACAUCAAAACUUUAAAAAGGAGUUAGUACUGAUUGGAUUAAAAACCUACACUUUAAGGUUUGUUUGCAUUGGCUAAUGUAAAGCUAUCAUUUUUAUUCUUUAUAAUGUUAGUGUUAACCCUGCUCCAUGACUUGAUAGAUUUAAUUAGUAGAAAACAAGGAGAGACUAAAGCUGUAUUCGGGUUUAAUUCUUUGCCUUCAGUAAUGUUUUAAAUUUGGGGGUUGAUUUAUUCCCACUUGACUUUUUAUGAAAGUUAUACUUGCACAGUUAAGGAAAUACAACACUUAGAACUUGAUUUUUAUACUAUGUUUCCAUAUAUUCUAAGUCACAUUUGAAAUGGCUAUAAUGAGAUCCAUUUCAGGCAUUUCUUGACCUAGAUGAAUAUUUUUGUGUAUACCAGGCUCUAAUUCAUUUUCAAACUUGCACAGAAUUGGAAAAUUCUCCCUUUAUACAAAUCCAUUUAUCAGCUUCAUGUUUUUCUUGGGUCUUCUAUAUUCCAAUCUGAACUCAUUGCCCUUUAGAAUUGAAUACCUUGAGUUGGGGCUUUGUUAUUGUGAGGGGUCCCUUUGCCUGUCGAUUUAGACCCUUCAUUUCCUGAAUCCCAGAGUUUUCAUUUUGUGCAGCUCAUCUUUUGAGACCAUGUCUAAAAGGGUCUGUUUCACUCUGGAUUAGUAGUUUGGCUAGGUAGAGAAUUCUAGAUUUAGUGAAGAAAUUUGAUGCUAUCUUGAUUCUUGAUCAUUCACAUGAAAUAUUUUUACUCUGAAAUAGCUUAGGGUUUUCUAUCUGUCACCAGUGUUCUCAAGUAUGACUGCUGGAUACCCAGUGGGUUCUGUUACUGUGUAAACUUGCUCUUUAAUUUCUGGGAAAUAUUAUGGACUGAUUAUUUUCCUUAUCCCCUUCACCACCACAAUCUGUUCUCUGCUAUUGUUAUUGGUGUGAGCCCUGGACAUCUAUUUUCCUAUUUUCCAUUGCAGUCUGUUCACACUUUGUAAUUUUCACAACUUAAUCUUUCAGCUUUUUAAAGUUUUAAAUCUCAUCUCUAAUUUCUAAGACCUUCGUCUGCCAAUCUGUUAUAAACAGCAACCUGUUCCUACAUGGAUACAUUCAUUAUCUGUACAAGGUUAACCUCGUCUGUAAGAUUUCCUCCAAGAUGCUUUACUUGGCGUGUUGCUUUGGCGCCUUCUUUUCAUGGUAGAGAUUUUCCUCAAAUGUUGGGUGGCUCUUGGCUCACAUUUAGGAGUGGAGUAUUUUAAAAGCUAAUUGGAUGUGAAUUAGGCUGGGAGGUGGGAACUUGUCAACCAUGGGGUUCACUAUUGGGUGAUCUGGCUGUGUCAUUUUGAGGAACCCCUUGAUACUUUUUUUUUUCUUUUCUUUAAACCCCUGAACUGGUCAUGUUCACCAGAGAAGUCUUUCUGUUCUGCUACCUUGAAGGGUAAAAACUGGCUGCCAGUAUUCUGGUAUCCCAGUGGGGGGAAAUCUCAGGAAUCAGAACAAGUAAACUGCUUUUAGUUGUUUUUUGUUUUUUCAUCACUAUGCCUGAGUCCAAAGAUCACCCUCUCGAGAUGAUCUCGUUUUUUGCCAGGAUGGAGUUCAAUUGUCCAACAGUAUAGAGGAUCUGGGGGUUUAACUGCCUGUGAGACAGACCAACCAAUCCUGUUUUAGUCGCUUCCAUUUCUGAAGAUGCCUGGGCUGCCAAUUGCUAACAAGCCUUUGGGGGGCAAGGAGUGUUCUGUGGUAUAAGCUCAGAUAUCUAUGCUACAGACAAUACUCAGUUUUGUCUGCCUACUCAAUCCCCAUUUGUUCAUUAGCUUUGCAGCUUUCAAAGUUUGCUGUUGUCUCCUCUUCCAUUCUUUGUCUUGAUGGUUUCUUAUGUUGUGCCCCCUCCUUAAGUACUGAGCUUUAGUAGGAUUUCCAAAGGGACUAGAAGUGAUAUAUGGUCUAUUUUUAGCAGCCUUUAUUGUGUGCGGUUGGUGAUGGAAGAUUUAGAGAACAAAGAAGGACAUGUAAAUUAAAAUACAGGUAGCUCAGUACUCUUAAGAUUUUGGCCAAUAAAGUUCAUAAGUAGUUUGCUCGUUUAUUAUAGAAUUGAUCCCUGUUUAUUAAGGGGCAGUGUUAGGUAACUGAUUUCAAUUCUCCCAUCAAUUUUGUACCCUUGUUAGAGCUACCAGUCCCAUUUCAUUUCAAGUAGCGUGUGAAUUUUCUAGGUCUGCUGUCCUAAUUCAAAUUUUGAUACCUUUUGGUUUACUAGAUGCCUGCUGAGAGGUGAGUUAAUCUCUUCCCGGGGUUCUGGGUUUCCUCUUAUUCCUUUCUUAACGUUUGUAUUGUAAGAUUCCAAAUCUUGUUACCAUGUUAACUUCUCAUGGGAAUGGUAAUUGCUUCAUUGUUCUUUGUUGGUCACAAGUAUUAGAAUACAGUGUAUGGAACACCUGUCCAGGUGUCAUUCAUGCUGAGAUAAGUUUGAAAGAUAGUUUCACUAAUAACAUGAGGACAUAACUAGGCCUUUGCGUUCUGUACUUUAGUCUGCUUUUAUUGUUUUACUGCUUGGAAAAGUUUUUUGACGGUAUCUUGUACUUUAAAAAAAGGUACUAUAGGCUUACUUAGAGCCUUGAGCUAUUGGGAAUUUAGAAAACCAGGGCUGAACCCACUAUCCACCACAAUGUUUGUGUUGGUCCUGAAAUGUAUGAGUUUAUUUGGUUUGAGGUCAUCUUAACCUCAAAUGUCAAAAUCUAGAUCCAUGCAUAAUAAAUACACUGACACGUCUCAGUAAAUUUCUUUGGGAGGACUAAUAGAGUUUAUCAGUGUGCUAACAUUUAAGGAUGAUCCCAAGCUAUUAUGUGAAUUUUUUAUUUUUUUUUAGUCUUCACUACUGGCCAUAUUUAUUUAGUUUAGGGAGACUAGCCUGAAAAUUCUAUGGGUAAAAAUGAUUCUAGCAAGAUGAAUAUUGAGUUGUGCAAAUUGAGUCAGCCUGGCCUGUUUAAUUGCUGUCAGUUGCUUAUCUGGAAAAUUGGGGAAGUGAUGAUAAUCUGGUUUGCAUUUCAAAGAGGACUGUAGACCAUUUACAUCAGAAUCAUUUAAUCAGAAUUGUUUGGGGGUGUUUCCUGGGUUUCUCUGUUUGACACACCCCCAAGUGAUCUUAGCUACACUAAAGUUUUAAGGUCUGUGGCUUUAAGAUAGUUACAGUUAAACAUAUUGUUUCAGUAAGGAUUGUUUUUAUUGUAAAGACAACGUGUUUCAUAAAACUUUGACCUCAAGCAUUUUAAUCAUGGACUCAUGUCUAGCUUGAAAGGAAAAAUCAUAAAAGACAGCAUUGUAAUGAGUGUACAAGAUGACUGAGCAAAUGUACCAAGUGGGGAAAGGGAUGUGGUGGGGGUGGCUUAUAGGCUGGAAACAUGAUGAGUUGGUUUUAUAAUGUUUUAAUUCUCUACAGGCAAUACACUCCCCUUAUUGCCUGCAUAUUGCUCCCUUUGUCACUGAUCUCACUCAUCCAUUAUGGGUUGGUAAUCAGCAACUGAUCAAAAUUGACUUUUGCAGUUGUCUUGAGUUGGGCUAGUUAAAAUAUUGCCCUGUUGUCCCUACUACCUUUUAGAUUCUCAAGUAGGAUGUGUAAUUCCCGCAGCCUCAGGUACUGGGAUCCAAGGGACUAUAGUUUAGGAAUACAGCAGUGGGGUAACUAUUACUUCUUAAUUUUCUGCAGUAAGCCCUGUAAAAGAUAACUUUGGGGGACAGAAGGGUGCUCUAAGGGCGUAAAAAAAGAACCUUACAAAAUGACUAUAACUUAAAAACGGUGAAAUGCUUUAUAGGAAUUAGAUCCUAAGUAAGAGCAAGGUGUUCCUUGGUAUAGCAGCCCAAGUCGGUUAUUUUAGUUGUCAUAGGAGGAAUUGUUUAAAGUCCUUAAAGAAAGUACAGAUAAGCAUUAGUAGAGGUGCUAAUUCAUUAAACAGUGAUAACAGGUUAUUGGAUUCUAUUUUGAGAAACAUCUAAGCCACUUGGUGUUGGGAAGAUAGUUUACUUCAAGGGUAGUUGGUAUACACUUUUAUUUUGUAAUUGGACAGGCUAUAUUCUGUUCAUACUUUAGAAUUGAAAGCAAGGUUACUUUCCUGGCUUUUCUCUUAAAAGUAAAAUACUGGGAGAAACUUAAGAGGUCUGUUAAUGCCAGUACAUGUGACAUUUAACAUGUCAUGGAAGCUAUGCUUUGAAGAAAUACUUGAGAAGGAAUAUAUAAUUGCCCCCUCCCCCUUUUUUUGUAUGGAUGGCCUUGGAUUACACAGGGCUUAAUUACAUUUUUAGAAAAUAACUUGCCAAUCUCAGACUGAUAAAGUGGAACCCUUUUAAAAAUAAAAAUUGAAAGAUGGCUCUUUGAUUAUUAAUCACAGUGUAGUUAAGAGAUUGGUUAAGGCAAUAAAAACUUCGAAAUGCUCAGAAAUUUGUUGUAAAUUGCUUCUGCAAUCAUUGAUAUAUAUAAAGCAUGCUACUACUAAUCAAUUAGUUUUAUGUAUUAAGACCUAUCAGCAUGUCUUUUUUUUAAGUACCUGGUUGACUUGAUUUUAAACUAACAUGAUGUUCUCUGUACCAUUUAACAUUUUUAAGACAUUCUCCCCAAGCAAAUUCUGUUGGAACCAAGUGUUUCCAGUUCUAGAAGCCUACUUCUAGAGUCUUCAUAUGAAAUUUAUAGUGGGCUUUAAUGGGAUUUUAAUUUGCACUAAAUUUUCCUUUUCUGAAAGAUUAUGUUCAAAUUAUAAUGUAGUGCUUUUGUCUCACAAUUAAACUCUUACAGCACUCAUG